ACUGCUGUCACUCUGCUGCUCUGAGUGGCAGGGGGCAAGGGCUGCGCUUUUAAGCAGAGGAGCUCUCUGAGGUGAAGUUGUGUGCAGCCUCACAGAUGAGCAUUUAAAGAAGUGGUAGUCACAAAAUGAAGAGAUUGAAAUUAUAAUCCUCACGCCAGCCAUGAAUCCAAAACGUGCCAGGAAAUAGUGCAAAGAGGAAGAUGAGACACUGUAGUGCAGAGUUUGGUCUCAUCUAUUUUUCAUUACAUGGAGUCUUUAUUUUUCUCUAUGGCUGGGCACAGCUUGCCAAGGGAUGAGUAUCUUCUGUUUCUGAGGUAAACCAGCUCAUCUAUGUGAGAACAUUCAGGCUAAGGCUUUCAGAAACACUUAAAAAUAUAUUUUAGGCUAUUUUAGGUGAGAAAAAGGAGAAGUUUCUUUUAAAAUGUGUGUUUGUGUCACAUGGACCAUAUGUGUAGACUGUUUAUAAAAUAUCUGUGUCGAUUCCCUCAUGCAUGCACAUGCCCAGAGUAAAAGGAAUAUGUAACACCUGAGGCUGGGAUCAAAAGAUGAAGCAUUUUC